UACAGAGGGUGCGAGCGUUAAUCGGAAUUACUGGGCGUAAAGCGCGCGUAGGCGGCUUUGCAAGUCGGGUGUGAAAUCCCCAGGCUUAACCUGGGAACUGCAUUCGAGACUGCAUUGCUAGAGUAUGGGAGAGGGAAGUGGAAUUUCCGGUGUGGCGGUGAAAUGCGUAGAUAUCGGAAGGAACAUCAGUGGCGAAGGCAGCACUCUGGGACGUGACUGACGCUGAGACGCGAAAGCGUGGGGAGCAAACAGG
rnacentral:rRNA from 1 species